UAAAGGUAUACAGUGGAGCAGUUAAAUUUCAAUUGUGCUAGAUAUGAAUCAUUUUUUAGUGUUCUUUUUUGUUCUAAGUUCGAUAUUUUUUGAAAACGAUGCAGAUUUGUUGUGUACAACGACACGAGAAUGUGAACCAGGCUAUUGCUGUGUAUCGGACAAUUCAAGAAUGGCUAUAGGAAUAUGCCUGCCGAUUAGCAGAGAAGGCGAGCGUUGUUUCAGCAAUUUUACAUCAACAACCAAUAUUUAUGCAAUUUUUUGUCCAUGCGAAAAAGGACUUUUAUGUUUGCAAUCCAGCCAAGGAUAUGAAACGAUUUGUCAAAAACAGUAAAAUUCAUAGUUUUGUCAACAAUUAUUCAAUACAAACAUACUGUAAGUGUGGAAGAAUAAGAUAAACUGAAGAA